UUUUCACGGGACUUAUCAUCACAACUGCAAUUACAUUGCCCAUUCAUAUUGCAACAACAAAAUUGUCAAUCAAACGUUUGAAGGUUAACCUGGUUUUACACCAGUACCUGUUGCUCAUCCGGUUCAGGUUGUAUCAGGGAGCAAACAAUAUUAUGCAGCAACAGCUUAUUCAAGAACAGAUAAACAAUCCUUGAAGAAAAUAAAACGAUACUCUAUAUUUGUAAAUAAAGCUGUUUCUAUAAGAUGAUGUUUAUACAUUUUAGCAACAAGGGAAUUUUGCUCAAUUGGACAGCGCUGUAGGAAAUUCAUCUGAUGACAUUGAUGAGAAGGAAGAAGAAAAUGACGAUGAUGAAGAUCUUAAUGAGAAAAAAGAAGAAGAGCAGGAAGAUGCUGGUGCAAGAGAAGAAGUUAGUAUUUCCAUUAAUGCUACUACUUUGAUUCUCAAUCUUCAAUAAUCAAUGUAGAGCUGUGCAAUGAAGUCUGUGAAUAGUUUAAUGCCAAGGAGGAAGCUGAAGUUCAUGCAGUGUUACUCAAUGGAGAUUCACAUGAUCAAUUAGCGAUUGCUUACCAUUUAAUUACAGACAACAAAAUUGUAGAUGUAACAGCUUUUAGAUAGUGGAAAAGUUCUUUGCGAUCUUAGUUUUUUUUUUUGUGUAAAGGGUAUCAAAUGAUAAACUUUCUUGUAAUUGUUAUAUAUCGUGGAAAGCCAAUUGUGAUGAAAGCUCAACACAUGAGCAAUAUAUUUUGCCUUGGCUAUGACAAUAGCAAAUCAAAAAUAUUUUCUGCCGGGAAUGAUGAUCAAGUCAUUGUUCAUGACUUGAAAACAACCGAUGUUCUAAACUUCUUUCGCCAUAAAAAGCCUGUUUAUGGUUUGUCAGUUCAUCCACACAAUGACCAUGUAUUUUCAAGCGCCUGUGAUGGUGGACGUGUUCUGAUUUAUGACAUCAGAGGUUCCAAUGCCAGCUCUCCAGCGUCUUUCUUCUGCCUGGCACAACACAAAAAUCCUUUUCAUUCAGUGAUGUUCAACCCUGUCAAUCCAGUUAUGUUGACCACUGCUAAUUUAAAGGAGGGAGUUAGUAUGUGGGAUGUACGCAAACCAUUGCAACCGGUUUUGCGCUAUGGAUCUGAAGGACCAGCACAAAGUUGUAUGAAUGUUAGAUUCAAUGCAGCAGGCACAACAUUACUUGCAAUUCGAAAGCGUAUGCCUCCUGUUCUAUAUGCUGUGAAUUCUGCAACACAUUUGUGUCAAUUUGAUCAUCCUGGAUACUACAAUAGCUGCACGAUGAAAUCUUGCUGUUUUGCUGAAAGUAAUGAUGAAUACUUACUAUCAGUUGAUGAUUCUGUCAAAUGGGUCGAUUCUGCACACAUUAUUUUACGCGGUGAUAGAUCGAUUGUUAAGUUCGUUACAAUGAUGCCAAUUGCGUUAUUGCUUCUUCAGGUGUCGAAAAAAUAAUAAAACUAUGGUCACCAUUCCUGCUUGGUGAUAAAUGUUUGGGAGGAUUAAGGAGAGAUGACGACAAAGAAGAAAAACAGCGUAGGGUAUAAUUGAGUAUAAUGCCAAGGAGGAAGCUAAAGUUCAUGCAGUGUUACUCAAUGGAGAUUCACAUGAUCAAUUAGCGAUUGCUUACCAUUUAAUUACAGACAACAAAAUUGCAGAUGUAACAGCUUUUAGUCCUAGUGGAAAAGUUCUUUGCGAUCUUAGUUUUUUUUUGUAUAAAGGGUAUCAAAUGAGAAACUUUCUUGUAAUUGUUAUACAAAAAUUUUAUUUUUCAAGUCUGUCAUUUGGAAUUCCUGAUUUCAAUAAGGAUCUAAUUUUAUCUUUAAAUGCAAGAUGUGAAAUACCUCUUUAAAAAGAAUAAUACUGUAACAGAAAAAAUGUUAAAACUUUAUAGCGUGUAAAGCAAGUGUGUCAUUUUUU